AGAGGAUACCCUUGUAUGUUCA
rnacentral:miRNA from 1 species